UGAGGAAUAUUGGUCAAUGGGCGCAAGCCUGAACCAGCCAUCCCGCGUGCAGGAAGACGGCGCUAUGCGUUGUAAACUGCUUUUCCAGGGGGAGAAACUUCCGUACGUGUACGGAAUUGACGGUACCCUGGGAAUAAGCAUCGGCUAACUCCGUGCCAGCAGCCGCGGUAAUACGGAGGAUGCAAGCGUUAUCCGGAUUCAUUGGGUUUAAAGGGUGCGUAGGCGGACUAUUAAGUCAGUGGUGAAAUCCUGCAGCUUAACUGCAGAACUGCCAUUGAUACUGAUGGUCUUGAGUUUGGUUAAGGUAGGCGGAAUGUGUAAUGUAGCGGUGAAAUGCUUAGAUAUUGGGAGGAACACCAGUGGCGAAGGCGGCUCCCUGGGGUCACACCGAGACGCUGA
rnacentral:rRNA from 1 species